GGAGAGGUCGCAUAGCCCGGUCUAGUGCGCUCGCCUCGAAAGCGAGUGAGGUGAAAGCCUCCGUGGGUUCGAAUCCCACCCUCUCCGCCA
rnacentral:tRNA from 1 species